rnacentral:rRNA from 1 species
UGCCAGCCGCCGCGGUAAUACGGAGGGUGCAAGCGUUGUCCGGAAUUAUUGGGUUUAAAGGGUGCGUAGGCGGUCAUUUAAGUCAGAGCUGAAAUGUCUCGGCUCAACCGAGGAACUGGCUUUGAUACUGAAUGACUUGAGUAUUGUUGAGGUAGGCGGAAUUGAUGGCGUAGCGGUGAAAUGCAUAGAUAUCAUCAAGAACACCGAUUGCGAAGGCAGCUUACUGGACAAUAACUGACGCUGAGGCACGAAAGCGUGGGGAGCGAACAGGAUUAGAUA